rnacentral:lncRNA from 1 species
GAGGGUGAGAGAGUAAAAAUGUCAUUUUCGGGAAAAAAAAAGUUGAUAGCAUUUUCGUGAAUAUUAUGAACUUGUGGGGUGAAUAUGAUAAAAGAAAAAUCUAAGAAAAACAUGAUUUAGUUUUAAGCUUGACUUUGAAUUUUGAGUCAAUCUUGCAAAAAGCUCACUUUAAAAAAGGCAAGUCCAAAGUAAAAGAGUGGAGUGAGUUUUGUCUUGGAUUUUUGUAUCAGGAGUUAUUUAAUACUUCAUAAAAUGAGCAGGAAACAAAAGAUUGUUAAAAGGGCAGCAAAACUAGUACUUGUUGUACUAAAGCACUAGAGUGACUGAUUUGUCUUGGAUUUUUGUUACAAGAGUUAUUUGAUAGAAAAGCGUAAAAGUGUGUAAAGCAAACUAGACACUGGUGAAGUGAAGAGUGUAAAGAGCAAACUAGUAAUUGUUAAAAGAAAACCAAGUAGAGAUAAAAAAA